rnacentral:rRNA from 1 species
UAUCACCAACCACCAUUGACGGAUGUUGGUUUCCGUGAUGGGGUGAUGAUUAAAACGAGCGGUUGGGGGCAUUAGUAUUUGGCCGCGAGAGGUGAAAUUCUAAGACCGGCCAAGGACUAACAAAAGCGAAGGCAUUUGCCAAGACCGUCUCGAUUGAUCAAGAACGAUAGUGCGAGGUUCGAAGACGAUCAGAUACCGUCCUAGUUCGCACUGUAAACUAUGCCGACCCGGGAUCAGCAAAGAGUUAUAAACUCGCUCCCUGUUGGUCCCCCUGGGAAACCUCAAGUUUUUGGGUUACGGGGGGAGUACGGUCGCAAGGCUGAAACUUAAAGGAAUUGACGGAAGGGCACCACCAGGGGUGGAGCCUGCGGCUUAAUUUGACUCAACACGGGAAAACUCACCAGUUCCGGACGUCAAAAGGAUAGACAGACUGAUAGAUCUUUCUUGAUAUGAUGUGUGGUGGUGCAUGGCCGUUCUUAGUUCGUGGAGUGAUCUGUCAGGCCGAUCCCGGUAACGGACGAGACCAAGAUCUCUAUUUACGAUACAGAAUGGCAGUCGUUUAUCGAUUGUCCAACGUACUUGCACAAUGUGCCGGCCCAGUGUCGGUGCAAAGUACUUGUAUGUUUUUUCUGUAAUGUCAUAUGCAGUAAUGUAUACGACAGCAUAGAGAGACAACUGACAAUAAUUAUAAAAUCAGAGGAAGUUUGGCAAUAACAGGUCUGUGAUGCCCUUAGACGUACUGGGCUGCACGCGCG